UGCUCCACCGAAAGAAAAAGACCGGCGGAACGGGUGAGUAACACGUGGAUAACCUACCCUCAAGCGGGGGAUAACACUUGGAAACAGGUGCUAAUACCGCAUAACAAAGAAAACCGCAUGGUUUUCUUUUGAAAGGCGCUUUUGCGUCACUUGAGGAUGGAUCCGCGGUGCAUUAGCUAGUUGGUGAGGUAACGGCUCACCAAGGCAACGAUGCAUAGCCGACCUGAGAGGGUGAUCGGCCACAUUGGGACUGAGACACGGCCCAAACUCCUACGGGAGGCAGCAGUAGGGAAUCUUCGGCAAUGGACGAAAGUCUGACCGAGCAACGCCGCGUGAGUGAAGAAGGUUUUCGGAUCGUAAAACUCUGUUGUUAGAGAAGAACAAGGAUGAGAGUAAAAAGUUCAUCCCUUGACGGUAUCUAACCAGAAAGCCACGGCUAACUACGUGCCAGCAGCCGCGGUAAUACGUAGGUGGCAAGCGUUGUCCGGAUUUAUUGGGCGUAAAGCGAGCGCAGGCGGUUUCUUAAGUCUGAUGUGAAAGCCCCCGGCUCAACCGGGGAGGGUCAUUGGAAACUGGGAAACUUGAGUGCAGAAGAGGAGAGUGGAAUUCCAUGUGUAGCGGUGAAAUGCGUAGAUAUAUGGAGGAACACCAGUGGCGAAGGCGGCUCUCUGGUCUGUAACUGACGCUGAGGCUCGAAAGCGUGGGGAGCAAACAGGAUUAGAUACCCUGGUAGUCCACGCCGUAAACGAUGAGUGCUAAGUGUUGGAGGGUUUCCGCCCUUCAGUGCUGCAGCUAACGCAUUAAGCACUCCGCCUGGGGAGUACGACCGCAAGG
rnacentral:rRNA from 1 species